UUGAUAUUUAGUUUUACCUUUGUGGUAUUUUUGAAAAUAAAUAGUAUACCUUAGUGGUAAUUUAGAAGGAAAAAAACCAUUAAUGGUAUUUUUGGAGGAAAAAAAAAACUCAUUUGAGUGGUACUUAUGAAAAUUGUCCAAAAUUAUAUCGAUGUUUAAACUAAACCCUUUUUUGCAAAUUCUGAUUAAAGUGGUUGACCAUGAUUUUUCUUAUUUGAUUCAUCAAAAUUACAACUAAAAAGUACAAUUAUAAUAAACCUCAAAUCUGGUGAUGUGUAGGAAAUACUCUUAUAAAUUGUAUUUAUUCAAUAUUAACUAACAAAAUGUGUUCACUGGCUUAAAUAAUCAUCUUAGAACAAUAGAGAACCUUCAAGACUUUCCACAUAAAUCAUCAUCACAUAAACCAAAAAAACAAAAGAGGAAAAAAAACCCAAAAAAAUAUCCCAGAAAAAAAAAGAAAGACCUUAAAACGACGAGUUUCACCGAUCCAAUCUUUUGAUUGCAAUUUUUUCACAUAACAAACAUCUCUUUCUUUUCCCCUUGCUCACUCCAAGUCUCUCAAAUUUUUCACAAUCAAUCAUUUCUUUGUUGCGAACCAAAAAGCUCGUGUGAUUCUCCAAUCUUCUUCUUCUCUCUUAUGGCGACACCGAAUCAGGAAUCAAUCGACACUUUCAUCAGCAGCACCGGCGCUUCAGAGGCCGUCGCUCUUCAGAAACUCGAGGUGAUCUCGAUUCCUGUUAUCCUUUUCUCCUUCUUCGUGAGUCUCUAUGAUUGGAGAUGGGGAAAGUGAGUCGACCUUAAACGAUCUUGGAUUGACCAGCAAACAAGAAGCAUUAUUCCUUGAGCUUAUCUGACUUCUGAUUUAUAAAAUGAAGACUGUACUUGACAGUUUGGGAAUUAGAUGGGUAAUACAACUCCCCACAAAUUCGUGUUAAAUGUUGAUUCCCUACGAAGGUUUUGUACUCUGGAGAGUCAAACCAACUGUUCAAGUUCUGGUGUUUUUUUUUUUUACGAAUCAAGAAGCUUUGUUACAGUCUCACAAAGCAAAAAAAAACGAAAAGUUUAUUGACAUGGCUAUGGUCAGCAAUUAAAAACGGAUUGAACCAGAUAAAUGAAGCAAAGAAGAGAUGGAAAGAAGCCCAAAAUUGAGCAUUAUAUAGAAAACCUUCAAUCCAAUUGAAAGCAGAAUGAAUUAAAAUCUAUUAUGUUCAUUCAUCAAACAGUGAUACUGACAGCAUUAAACUCAUAUAUAAAACAUGACUUGGGCAGUGUAAGCA